rnacentral:tRNA from 1 species
GCUUGGUUAUGACGGCAAGGGUCAGGUGCGGGUCGCGACCGCGCAGGAGGCGCGGGCUGCCUGGGCCGAUCUGGGCGGCCAGCCGUGCG